CAGCAGCCGCGGGAAAACGUAGGGCGCAAGCGUUAUCCGGAAUUAUUGGGCGUAAAGAGCUCGUAGGCGGUUUGUCGCGUCUGCCGUGAAAGUCCGGGGCUCAACCCCGGAUCUGCGGUGGGUACGGGCAGACUAGAGUGAUGUAGGGGAGACUGGAAUUCCUGGUGUAGCGGUGAAAUGCGCAGAUAUCAGGAGGAACACCGAUGGCGAAGGCAGGUCUCUGGGCAUUAACUGACGCUGAGGAGCGAAAGCAUGGGGAGCGAACAGGAUUAGAUACCCCUGUAGUCCCUGUCUCUUAUAC
rnacentral:rRNA from 1 species